rnacentral:rRNA from 1 species
GACAGCAGCCGCCGCGGGAAUACGUAGGUGGCAAGCGUUGUCCGGAAUUAUUGGGCGUAAAGGGCUCGCAGGCGGUUUCUUAAGUCUGAUGUGAAAGCCCCCGGCUCAACCGGGGAGGGUCAUUGGAAACUGGGAAACUUGAGUGCAGAAGAGGAGAGUGGAAUUCCACGUGUAGCGGUGAAAUGCGUAGAGAUGUGGAGGAACACCAGUGGCGAAGGCGACUCUCUGGUCUGUAACUGACGCUGAGGAGCGAAAGCGUGGGGAGCGAACAGGAUUAGAUACCCCUGUAGUCCCUGUCUCUUAUAA